CUGAUCCUUGGUGUGGUGAGUGACACAAUUCUCAUAUAUUAGCCUGUGCUAGGGAGAGUUUUUUAGUCACUGUGCAGGGGAUCGACAUAUCCCAGACAGGCCUGGGACCGUAGAAACCAGGCAUUUUCCAUAUUACUACCCUUCGGGGGAAUGCAUAAACAGGGAAAGAAAGAAGCUUAGGCUGGCAUGUUUUUAGGAAAUGUGUUGUGCUAAUACGGCAAAAUGCGGUUUAGAAAAAACUAGCCUAUAGCAGUAGAUGGUUGCGUAUGUGUACAAAAAUGUAAAUGUUUGUAGAAAGGAAGGGAGUUUUGAUGCAAGGCUUACUACUGUUUCUGCGCAGAGGCGCAGAAAACCUUGCUCAAACUCAGGAGAAAUGAGGCACUGGUGAACAGCCAGUGAAUUCUGAAGGUGAACAGAAUGGAGUAUGAAAGACUAAAAAGCAAUAGAAGGUGAACAGUGAGAAAGUUUAUAGCUGCCAGUAAGCGUGUGCAAUCCCAGAAUGCACACGCGAAGAAGUUUGAACUUUGCUAGGGGGCUAACCCAGGAAAAGUGGCAAGCUUCUUGUUAUAUUUAAAUUAAAUAAUAUUAAAACACUGCUGAAUGCUGAAUCAGGUGCAUAACCUCGGCUUCAAAGUUACAGUCCUGAAAGCAGAGUCUGUGCUGAUCCUUAAACCCAGGUAUGGCCCUGCGGCAGUACACACGUCUCAAGACCUCUGACAGUGCAGACUGCAGCUGCACCAAGUUUUGAAACUGUUCGUAUCUGUCCGGAGAAGACCAUACUUUAAGUCUCAGAGAUCGAGGCCGGUGCUGGUGUAGUCACUGUACCUCUGAGUACCGCGCCCGAUGUAAUGUCACAGGACCGCUGAGUGCCACGGCAAAUGCAAGUCUCCAUCCCUCUGAAAGUGUAGCUACAGGCUACAACAAGGGUGGCGACCGUCUGGAAUUUGCCACAUGUGGGACUCAUGUCUAAAGACCUCUGAGACUGGUGAAAAGGUAUCAGGACACAGAACUUCUGCAUUUCUGAGGUGCUGGAACCAAGGUCCUUGGCCUGUGUUAUCUGUCUCAGUAAACAGUGGUGUACUAUUAAUUAAAUAAAUAGGUUAGGAUUUAUGAAACAGUUGAGAUAAGCCAGUGUAGAAGGUAAAAUUCCAACAUGGCUUACAACCAACCAAAAAAUAGACUUUGGCCUAUUAUAAAUAAAAUAACCAUUAGCCUAGAGCUAAAUUAAAUUAUAUAGGCAUAGGUGUACCACCAUUCACCUUUCUUUAGAAAGCUCGCUUUCAAAAAAGUGUAGUGAAUUCUGGAGUACCCUAUUGUUUUCAUCUGGGUUUUAUUCUGUGUGUUUUAGCGGCACAAGGAGGAAAUCAGAGGAUUUAAACUAAUAAUAUUAACAAAUAAUAUAUUAAUUAUUAACGCAUGCCUGUGCACGCCAUUUAGAAACUGUCAGAAUUCACUAACAGACUUAUUUGGGUGCCAAUUACAUUAGCCAAGGCAUGUUAGAUACUAGAGAUCUAAUGGUAUUUUUGUGUGAAUUUCACCAUAGCACAACAUAUACCUAUUAGACUCUUUGUCAAACCGUUGAUAAGCCAGUCAAAUGCCAUAAAUGAACAUAAGGUUAUCAAGCUUAAACUCAGUUAAUAAAGGCCAGUAUCAUCUGUGCCUGCAAUGAAAAUUAUUUAAGGAAGAAGUCUUCCAAACUACAUAUCUCAAAUAAAUAAAUAAAUAAAUAAGGAGAAGAAGCACUUACUCCUAAGUUUACACCAAAUUUGUCUUUUUAGCAUUCAAAUGUUGAAAGGGGUGUCAUUUUUUGGCAAGGACUGGCUUACUGGUCUCACUUUAUUCUACUUUUCCACAUUUUCUCUCCUUUGAUCUCCUCCUUCUUUUUCAUUUACUGUUCCUCCUCCUCCUUUCUCCCUUCUCCCCAUCUGUCUGUCUUGUUCUGUUUCCCCCCCUUCUCUGUCAGUUGUUGAAUAUUUAAGGAGCAGUAAACCUACACUCCCAAGACAGUGUCUGAUUUUCUUUUUGUUUUUUCAUCUUUUUAUUUUUUGUCAGUUGUGGUUUAACCCCCAAAUUAUGCAGAUAGUAACCAUACCUAGAUUUUCUCUUCUUUGCACAACUACAGGCAAAGAGUUUCACACCUCAUGGUUAGGGGGAUUUGUAGGUCCUUUCUGGAAGAAUGUUUUAGAAAUAUGUGAAAUUUUCUUAAUAUUUAUGGAAUUUCUGUUAAUGUUAAUGGCAAGUUUCACAUUCAUUUUAAAAUAUAUCUGUCACAGACUUCAGGAUGCUACAACCCCCGAACACUACUUGUCUUAUAUGUCUUAAAUUGUGCUUUUUGUGUUUUUCUUUAUUUUUAUACUGUAUGUUCAUUAUAAUGGUUCUUUAUUUUUAUACUAUCAUUUUCAAUGCCCAUCCAUACAAAAUGUCUUGAGUUUUGUCUCCUUUCUUUUUAAUUUCCCAAAUCCAGUUUAUCCAAAAUUACAAAGGAUAUUAUCAUGAGAAGGACAAAAAACAUAUUUACCACAAAAUGCAGUUGUCAUGAAAACUCCGAACUACCUCAUUCAUAUAUACCAUGUCUCACAAACCUUUUUCCCCCUAAUCCCACCAAGUUUAUUAAGGUUCAACCUCUGCACAGCCCCGUGGAUGUCAACCUUAAGUACAGUGUCUCCAAGACUUUGCUUCGAUAGAUUCAAUCGAGAGGACACCUCCUGGUACAAAGUUCCUACGUCACUGUCAGCUGUCUUGUGAGUUUUCCUGUGCUUAAGAACACGGCGGGCCCCGACUGAUGGAAUGGACUUAGUGCAACAGGUCAUCUGAGGCAAAAAAGUUUCCAUCUUCACUCCAACAUCUGAUCCGUUCCAUACCAUACACACCUCAACCCACACAACCCUUGAUAUCUGCCUUCCCAGUUAUUCCCACCAUCAGCCCUACGACCCUGGACCUCCGGCACCAACCAUUUGGGAAAGUGUCCAUGACCCCUUGGGAGGACGUUUUGAAGUGUCCCCCAUUGGGCCAGAGGGGGGAGCUGUAAGAGGGAAAUUAUACUGGGACCCAGAAAAGGCUGACAUUUGAACGAGCCAGCAUGCUGGGACGCAGCGUGUACUUCAAAGGACCCGAGAGCCUUGUGGUAAAACAAUAAGUCACUCGGACUUCCUCUGAAUGGGCAGGCCAUUUGGCUCUCUGGAAUGUUACCACCUGGACACAACCAAGAUAAGGGGAACUAGUCUCUUUGCCUGUGGUUGUGGGUGUGGGUGUUUUGGGGUCAUAAAGGGUGAAAUGACCGGCCACAUGGCGGGACAGUGCCCUCAUUUGGGCCCCUCUGACAUUCCACUUUGUAUUUCUUUUCUGGAUCUGGACUUUAAAUCAUCUGUUUAUCCUAUUUACAAACCCCAGAAAACCGUACAAACCAUGCACAUGUUUUCAUUGUAUUAUUGUAUUAUGCAUUAUGUAAUAAUAACAUGGAUUGCAUGUACAAUGGUUAAACAAAAGGGUAUUUUCAUGACAACUGCACCAUAAUAUUACAUCCACUUGACAUGUUUAGUAUGGACAUAUUCAGGAAAAUUAUAGCAAUUGAAUGAAAUAUGUUUCAUACCAAAUAGAAUUUAAUAAAACAUAGUUUCAAUAACUCAGGAAAAAACUAACACAAUGGAAUGUCCUCUCUGGUAAUCAUCUCCUUUUCCCCAUUUCCCCACCAAUUGUUUUAACAACCUCCUCCAAAUGGUGGGGGCCGGAAUUAGAGAUUUAUGAUUCGGACAGGUUAAUUUAUGGCAAUGCCGCCUAGACCAAACGCGGGAUUUGGCUUAAAAGGAAGGGAGACAAAGCAAUCGAGGAAGAUCGUAAUCGACUUCCCGCAGUGCACAUACUCUGCUAUGUGUUCUGUGUAGAGAUAGCCAUGGAAGAUCGUAAACGACUUCCCCACGUGGUACAUACUCUGUGCUCUGUGUGUAGCUAAACAGGCUGGGUAAGAACUAUUUUACUCUGUAUUUAUGUUUUUAACCCUUAUAAUUGAUUUUGGAAAUUGAAGAUAAUAACCUACCUGCCUGUUCAAUAAAUUCUUAUUUUUAACUUG